CUCUCCUCCUUCUCUCUACUUUCUCUCUCUAAAUUUUCUCCGAUUCUCUGCAUGUUUUCAGCAUUUGGCCUCCAAACUCACUAGCCCAACUAAUUUGGUUUCAUGUCGGGUAAGCUCACAAAGGGGUAAAGCAUUCCCUGAAUCCCUGCUACGAAACUCUGCGUUCACUGGAAUCUGAGAUCUCUUGUCAAGAUGGAGGGAUCCCGAUCGCUCACCACAUCACUGUUGGUGAUUUUGUUGGAGUUAAUCUUGUCUCUAGCUCAAAUUUCUAAACAGAAUUUUCAGGCGAUUUCUUGCCAAAGGUUAUUACUCAGUUUUGCCUUGCAUUAUUUAUGCUAUAUUGCCUAUCCAUUGAGGAUACUAGUGCAUAUGAUCUAGCAUCUUAUUAAGUAGUAGUAUUG
rnacentral:lncRNA from 1 species